rnacentral:lncRNA from 1 species
GCAAACUUUACUUUUGCCUAGGGCGGCAAAAAUCCUUGCACCGGCCCUGGCUGGAGGGGGCUGUGUGAGCUGUGGCCGCACAGUGUCCCAUGGUAGUUAGGGUGCCGUGCGGCCAGUACAGCUCACACAAGCAAACAGCUGAUAAACUGGCCGUACGGAGGAAAUGUGUAUGUGUGACUGUCUGCCUGUGACUGUGUGUGACUGUCUGCCUGUAACUGAGUGUUUGACUGUCUGUCUGUAACUGAGUGUGUG